rnacentral:lncRNA from 1 species
GAGAGAGGGACCAUGUGUAAUAUUUCCCGCCCUCCUGCUGUUCUAGUUCUACAGCUUAACCUGACUGUAAAAAAAAGGUAAAAUAUUCAUGUGCCACAGCCAGCGACUGAGGUGGAAAAAUGAAAAGAGCAUAUGAUACGUAUCUGGCUGCACUUAAAAAUAGUCGGUUUUGCUCGAAACCCUAGUGAAUAUAUGGAGUUAUGGACUCGGCAACUGUCUAUGAUACUUAAAUAUUUCUUUUUGGUUGUUUGGUGUAUUGUUUUGAGCUAGAAGACUAUCCCAGCUAUACACCUCUUUUCCAACUCAUAACAAUACAGAAGACAGUCGACGUGCUACACAUUGAGAUAUCCAUAAACAUUUUUCUCCCACGGAUUUUGACGUGGAUUCGCUCAAUUCAACCUUAUGCAUGUGGGACAUCAUUUCUCGUUGGGAAAAGUCAACGCCUCCAAACGGCAACGGGUGUGCUCUUCUUUUUAGUGCAGACUAUUAUGCGCCAGCUUUUCCAUACUAUAACCGGGCAUUCAAACCAUUCAUCAAAGUUUCGGGUUCUGGGGCGUAGACCGUGUAAACCCAAGACACCCUACUGCGUUCUUUACGGCCGCCUUCCGCACACGCACAAUGAUAUAUAUCUGCUGGUGCGCACAUGAGUCUAUACGCACAACAACAUUCGGCAUUCUUGAUAAAUGUAUAGCUACAGUACAACAUCUUGUGCUAAUAAGGUAACGCACGUGUGUAAUAUUCCGGGGGUGAUUUUCCGGUUGACAGAAACCAUCAGCUGUUGCUGUCAUCCCAGAACCCACUCGCUCUUUUCACGAAAACCUUAAGAAGAACCAGAGCGUGUGCAUAUGACAAGUCCGAGAUUCCCAGAGGAGAACCUAUAGGUAGAGCAUGAAUCAAGAAUAAAUCAGUUUAAUACUUGCACGUUUUGCCUCUCUCUUUCUGCUCAAGUUGAUUGGAGGAAUUAGUAAUAUUGUUUCGUGGGCGAUUUUGAUCUCAACGUUACGAGUAUUGAACGUCCGUGUUGCGUAAGAAAAUCCAAGAUUUCUUCGUAUACACACUACACAUACGGACAAUCGCGCCAUUGUGCCUUGUCUAUCUCUACUCUAUCUCCCUCUCCUUAUUUUCCGACCGGUGCGGUCGACUCUUUUUUCUUUCUUCUUCUUUUUCUUUCCUAUUUUUGAUGUACGCCAGUCAUUUGAAACGCAUCAUGCAUUUAGAUUGGCUCAUUAGGAACAGCCCUUGCGUAUACUGCAGGCUAUACUACCUCGUAACUAUUGUAGGUGAUGCAACUGUGGUUGAACGGGCAGCUCAGGCGCACCACCACCAACAAAAUAAAUAGAAAAGCCUUCACAUGUUGUAAUCGUAAUCUCUAUACUGUGUCAAUCGAAGUAUUUUUUUUUUUCUCCAGCACACAUUUUUACAUAUUUACACUCAUAAUUUAAUACGCAUGCAUAAAUGCAUUGCAACUAUAGAAGGAUCAUCGGCCUACAUGGCUACAUGACCUUUUAAUUGAAAUACAUCGUCAUGUUAAUUGUGUUUGUUUUUUUCUGGAGCAUUUUGAUUUUCCAACUCUGUGUACGCAAAUAUACAUGUCGCUCUUCAUUUUGUUCGUUAUGAAAACUUGGACAAACUUCAGCCAGACUUGGAUUUCCAGACAUCAUUGAUUUUUGAGAAAGAGAGAGAGAGUUAUUCGGCUGUAUUUUUACCUUUAUUCCCGUAGGUUUUGUACAAACAGCUGACAUGAAAAACAAAACAAAAACAACAAAAAAAACCAAAAAAGAGCAAGUAAAAUGGUCGCCUCUAAAAUCGAUAGACCAACGUGAAUAUCUGAGGCACAAACCUGGGGGUGUAUAUAUAGGUUACAAUAGAAAAUGACUCGGUGGAUGGUCAGUAUAUCACCGAUAUAGAUGGACUGCACAAAUCCAUCUAUUUCUUUUAUUAUGAACACGAGAACAAGCCAGAACAAAGAAAAUAUCAAAUGUUUUAUUUCGUCAAAAGUUUGAUCUUCUCUUUUAAGAAAUAAACAAAAAAAAAGGAAUAUGCGCAUGCAUAAUUAACUGAAAAUCUGUAUAUAAAUCAAAUGACGGAUUUGCGCAAUAUACGCGCUAUAAGCGCCAGACUGCUGCUCCUGUACGUGUGUGCCUUCUAGUUCUAUAUUCGCGUGUUUGUUUGUUUUGUUUUUUUCUCGUGGCUCGGGUGUUGGCGGCGGGGAGGAGUUGAGGUCACGUGCUGCCAACUUGAUGUCUAAAUAAGAAAAACAGUCGGCGACAAAGGGACAAAUUUUCGGCAAGUCACCGACUCACCGCCGCUUUUGUCGCCGUGUUAACCCAGAACGACGCUGCUGACGCCUCAAAGAUUUCCUCUUCCGUCCACACAGCAGCAAACACAUAUAGCUAGUCCGGGUCUUGACACGACCUGUCUCUGUGCGUGUAGUGUGCAUGAAUAUAUAUCUAAAUCCCUUCCCUUUGCCUCCUCCCCGGCCACCCCACCCCACCCCACCCCACCUCUCUUCUUCCCUCCCUUCUUUCCUCUCGCACUGUAUAUGCACGUACUACUAGUAUAGUGUCUAGUACUAGUCUCGUUUAAUUUCCCUGCCUGCAAGUGAAGGGUGCGAUCUGAUGCCGAGCCCCGAUUUUCUGGUCGUGACAGCGUGUGCAUGCGCUCGACUCGCCGGCCCCUUCAUUCCCUCCCUCCAUCCGACGCUGCUCCUGCGCCCGUUUGAUCGCAUCUUUUUUCUCUUUUCUCUCGUUUUUCUCAUUUUUCUUUUUCGCCCUCCUCUUUUCUUUUUACACUGUUAUAAAAAAAAGAGGUGUUCCAGCUCUAUUGACUAACGCAAAUAAAGCAUGGAUUUUCCAAGUGGGCAAUUUAACACUGG